GGGCCCGCACAAGCGGUGGAGUAUGUGGUUUAAUUCGAUGCAACGCGAAGAACCUUACCAGGGUUUGACAUCCUGCGAAUCUCUUGGAAACGAGAGAGUGCCUUCGGGAACGCAGUGACAGGUGGUGCAUGGCUGUCGUCAGCUCGUGUCGUGAGAUGUUGGGUUAAGUCCCGCAACGAGCGCAACCCACGUCGUUAGUUGCCAGCAUUUAGUUGGGCACUCUAGCGAGACCGCCGGUGAUAAACCGGAGGAAGGUGUGGAUGACGUCAAGUCAUCAUGCCCCUUACAUCCUGGGCUACACACGUACUACAAUGCUACGGACAAAGGGCAGCAAACUCGCGAGAGCUAGCAAAUCCCAUAAACCGUGGCUCAGUUCAGAUCGUAGGCUGCAACUCGCCUACGUGAAGGAGGAAUCGCUAGUAAUCGC
rnacentral:rRNA from 1 species